GAUUCCCCUAGUAACUGCGAGUGAAGCGGGAAAAGCUCAAAUUUAAAAUCUGAGGGUCAAUUUGGCCUUCCGAGUUGUAAUCUAGAGAAGUGUUAUCCGCGCUGGACCGUGUACAAGUCUCCUGGAACGGAGCGUCAUAGAGGGUGAGAAUCCCGUCUUUGAUACGGACUACCAGGGCUUUUGUGAUGCGCUCUCAAAGAGUCGAGUUGUUUGGGAAUGCAGCUCUAAAUGGGUGGUAAAUUCCAUCUAAAGCUAAAUAUUGGCGAGAGACCGAUAGCGAACAAGUACCGUGAGGGAAAGAUGAAAAGAACUUUGGAAAGAGAGUUAAACAGUACGUGAAAUUGUUGAAAGGGAAACGCUUGAAGUCAGUCGCAUUGGCCAGGGAUCAACCUUGCUUGUUUUUGCUUGGUGUACUUUCUGGUUUUAAUGGGUCAGCAUCAAUUUUGACUGGUGGAUAAAGAUUAGAGGAAUGUGGCAUCUUUGGAUGUGUUAUAGCCUUUGGUCAUAUACAUCAGUUUGGAUUGAGGAACUCAGCACGCCGCAAGGUCGGGUUAUUAACCACGUACGUGCUUAGGAUGCUGGCAUAAUGGCUUUAAUCGACCCGUCUUGAAACACGGACCAAGGAGUCUAACAUGCACGCGAGUGUUUGGGUGGAAAACCCGAGCGCGCAAUGAAAGUGAAAAUUGAGAUCCCUGUCGUGGGGAGCAUCAAUGCCCGGGCCAGACCUUUUGUGACGGUUCCGCGGUUGAGCGUGUAUGCUGGGACCCGAAAGAUGGUGAACUAUGCCUGAAUAGGGUGAAGCCAGAGGAAACUCUGGUGGAGGCUCGUAGCGAUUCUGACGUGCAAAUCGAUCGUCAAAUUUGGGUAUAGGGGCGAAAGACUAAUCGAACCAU
rnacentral:rRNA from 1 species